UCAAAGGCGCGAUCUAAAAAUUGUACGACUAUACUAUAUUAAUAGCAUAGGGGAAAUAUUAAUCUAUUAAUAAAAGAUGUGAAUGGAAAUUUUUAAUACGUUAAAAGAGCAUAUUAUUUUCAUUCGAUCAUUCUUAAUAAUAAUAAUAAAAAAAGAACAGACACGGAAAGACGCAUUUCGUGGUAGGUAAAAUAUUUUAAGAUGGUUUUAAUUACAUGUAUGUCAUAAAAUUUAAAUCCUGGUAUCUAGGAUGAGUUUAUUUACAACCACUGGGUCGAUGCCACUGCUAGUGGAGAUUUAUUUGGCCGAGGGUUACACCAGCCCAGUAGUACGCACUUAUCUAUAUAUAUUGAUUAACUUUACAAGAAAGGAUUUUCAAUGAAAGAGCAAAUACGCCAGCAUAAUACGCUGCUAUCUUUAUCAACUUAAUUUUUUUUAUUAAUAAACAAAAGUAAGACACAACCAUAUUUAUAUAAUUUAAUUUUAGAUGUGACCCGUCUUCUGAUUGGCUGACGUUAUUUUGUUAUCAGCCCAUAGACAUAAGUAAGUCAUGUGACCGUGAUGUCAUCAACGGUUUUUCAUGGUUUUCUACGGUUUAAAAUAGAAUUUAGAAUUAAAUUAUAAGAAAUGACUGUAAUAUUUCUUUCUGUCUAUUCGAAAUAACAUAAAAAUGUGGUGCACAAUGUUAAAUAACCCGCUUCGCGCGUUAUUCAGUGUGCACUAAAUUUGUUAUAUUAUUUUUUCAUAGACAGAAAAAAUAUUACAGUCAUUCCUUCAAUAAUGAAAUACAAUGGUUUCCUGUGACGCAUACAGAGUCAUCGAUGAAAAAUAUUGACUAAUUAUGAAUGAAUCUAUUGCGAUGGUUUGUUGUGUGAACAAGAUAAAUGUUUCUAGGUUUAAGGUCUAAUAUUGAUUUUGAAUAUUUUGGUCACAUUCGGUAACAGGGAAUGGGAUGAUAUUAAUAAUAAGCAGAACAUGUUCGCUAUCAUCUGUGAAACGGAUAUGCCAUAACGUUUAUUCAACUCGUUAGGGCGUCUGCAAAACAUACGAAGGGACAAUUUUAGCUUCACCACUUAGAAAUCUAAGUUAAAUAGCAUCUUUCUAUCAAUGAAAUCAUUAUAUGAAAUAAAAGACAAGGAAUAUUAUAUCAACUAUUGAAAUAACCCAUAAGCAGGCGCUGCUAGAAUGUUGAUACAUAGAAAUAGAUAGUUCACAAUUGGGAAGAUGAACACAUCUCUUUUGUAAUAAAACUUUUGUUUUAACCGACACUAAUUAUCAUUUUCUAAAUGUAAGUCAAGAUAUGAGGCAGUUUGAACUGUAUCUGUUGUAUCCUUUUUCUAAAAUUCGAUGGGAUAUAUGCAUUCGACAUAAUCACCAAGAUUUGAAAUCAUUUAGCUAGAGAAUAUAACUUAUAUAGCACCAAGAAGGGUUGAUAAUACUGCUAACUAAUUUCGUUUUUUCCUAAAAUGUUUUUGUAUCAAGUCAGUCUCAUAUGAAUAAGGACACAAAUCGGCAAAAGAGUGGCAAAGUUUUUUGGCAUGAGAAUGACGAUUGUUUAAACCUUAAAAGACCUCUUACCUAUUGUUUCACGUAGAAUAAUCUACAAAAUCCGUUGCUAAAUGUUGCCUUAAACUUGCAGUAAUGAAGGUAUCAAUGUGACUGUCAUAUGAAGUGCUGUUCCUUUGUUUUUUGUAUGUGUUCUGAUAGCUAUGGCUAUACUUAUGUCGAGGAUACAUGGACAUGAUGGAUAACCGAUCUCUUGUUUUUCUAUUAUAUGAAUAAAGAUUGAUAUUUUGUUUUUAAUACAAAUUAAUAUGAUCAAUGCUAUAUUGAUGGUCAGUAUUUAAAUUGAUUGUAGGAAAUCAUGGUUAACCUGGUCAUUUACAUACUAUUGGUAACAGUGUCCUCAGUACAACAGAAACCAUUGGAUUUUAAGGAUAGAAAUGUGCACAAAUUACCAAACAAUGUAUGGAAAAUGAGCGAACUAGACAUGCACCUUAAAAAACAAGCUACCCAAACUAUUUUAGCAACAAAAUUUACCACGAAGCCUUUCAUUUCGUCUUCAAAGACAAAGAAACAGUGGAUAUCUACCCCUAGGACCUUCGUUGACGCAACAAAAGUUAGUACUACGUUACAACAUUUUAUGAGCAUAAGAGAAAAACUCGUUACAACUGAAAAUUCACUAACAGUCUUAUCUGUGAACCAUUCUAAUAUUGGAAGCAGGACAAACGAAUCUGUUGCAAAUCUCUCUUAUAUAAGUUAUAUUAUCACUGUUAUAGGAGCUGUUUUUGCAACUAUUUUACUAUCGUAAAACGAAGAAGAUGUGGUAUGAUUGGCUAUGAGACAAAUAUACCACCAGAGCCAACAUGACAUUAACAGUUGGACUAUAUCGGAAGUAUCAUGAGGAAGAAUGUCUAUGUUUCCGUCACACCUCAGGGCAACGUCCAUAUUGAGAGAUAUAGUACCGAGAUCAGAUCACACUAUUUACAUAAUAUGCGAAUAUUGAACGAGAUACAGAUAAUUUAUGAUGUUCCUUAGCGUUGACGAAGGACUCCACACCAUGCAUACACAUGAAGGUGAUGUAUGCGGUACAUUUCCUGAAUCUUCUAGAAAUGAUAAAAAAAAGUGAAAUUCAACAGUUCUUAAUCUGAUGCAAUGACCACGCCUGCAGUUUUAACUUUUUCGAUAUUAUUUUCUGAAAAGUUUUAUACAAGUUCAAACUUGAAAGUCUUUUAUUAACUUUCCUCCUCAAAAUUAAUUUGCAUGUUACUACAAACAAGAUGUAGACUGAAGGGAUUAAUCUAAAUACCGAACGAUUCAGUUUCUAGACAUUCGUACCAGACAAUAACCGGGAAAUCUAAAUCUGAAGAGACAAAACUGUCCGAUAUGAUGAGAAGAAAACUUGUUAUGCGAAAAAAAUAACAAAAAUUAGAUUCUAUCAGACAACUAGAGGAAAGAGAGGUCAGAGUUUCAAUACACAAGGAGAAGAUUUAAACAAUUUGAUAAGCUGUGAAUGGAAAAAGAGAGGUUACAAAACAUAAGUGGUGGUGGUCGAUCAUUGAAUGGUUAUUUUUAAACUGAGCUCUCUAGAUAAUUGUCAAUAAACCGUUUGCGUUUUCCGAACUGCUGGAAAAAAAGUCGAAGGAAAAUGUACACACGAUAUUAAAAGAAGAAAAUACAGCGCGAAUGAGUAGGAUGGACAAAUAUAUCGGUCUUCACACAAAUUAAUUGCUUUUAGAAUCAGC
rnacentral:lncRNA from 1 species